AAGACCUUAUGCUUUUGGAGCGGCCGAUGUCUGAUUAGCUAGUUGGUAAGGUAAUGGCUUACCAAGGCGACGAUCAGUAGUUGGUCUGAGAGGACGACCAGCCACACUGGGACUGAGACACGGCCCAGACUCCUACGGGAGGCAGCAGUGGGGAAUUUUGGACAAUGGGCGCAAGCCUGAUCCAGCAAUGCCGCGUGAGUGAAGAAGGCCCUCGGGUUGUAAAGCUCUUUCAGUCGAGAAGAAAAGGUUGUGACUAAUAAUCAUAACUCAUGACGGUAUCGACAGAAGAAGCACCGGCUAACUACGUGCCAGCAGCCGCGGUAAUACGUAGGGUGCGAGCGUUAAUCGGAAUUACUGGGCGUAAAGGGUGCGCAGGCGGUUCUGUAAGUCAGAUGUGAAAUCCCCGGGCUUAACCUGGGAACU
rnacentral:rRNA from 1 species